ACCCCUAGUGCAUUCCUGCUGGAGUUAUGACUGUGGGUAUGGAUCAAAGUUAGGGUUGUUGGUUUUUUUGAUACGGAUCAAAGUUUGCUAAGGAGGGAGCCUGAUCCUGGCUCCUUGACUGGGACUCUCUCCAGCUGGCAGCCACUCUGGAGAAGAAAAUAGCACUGGUGCCAAGAGCAAUUACAACUGGAGCAGAAACCAGCUCUGAAAGGGUUAUGUGAGCAGCAGCUCUGCUGAGGAGACACCCAGAUCCUGUUUCUCAUUCCCAAAAUGCGGAUCUAAUUUCAGGUGGUGGCAUCAUGACCCAAACUGCUUCUAAAUGCAUGGACUGCAAUUGUAACAGAAGUGGCGAACAGGUUUGGGGACGGCUAACAUGCAAUCCUCCAGGUAGAGUCCAGUGACUUCAUCAAGCCCCAGCUUGCAAGACCAAUGGCCAAGUAACUUUCAGAUUUGUUGGCUGAGUUGCAGAACAAGCUUCUUCAGAAACAAGUCAGGGAAUUGAUUUUGAUGAAGAUCAAAUAUCGGAAAUCGGCCUGGAAG